ACUUGUAUUCGAAAUCAUAGUUUUUGGUCUUUAUCCGGAACCAUAGAUUUAAAGUUUUAAGUAAAAGUGGAAGUGAAUUCAAAAGGAGUUUACCGAUUUACAACCUUCUUCAUAUUUUAGUUCGGAAAGUGCUUGAUUCUUUAUCUACGUUCAUGAAUGAAGUUCAACACCGCCAUUGGCCACUUGAGUUAUGUCGGGAUCCAGCAUAAACAUGCUCUUGUGGACGACAUACCUCUCACUCACGACGAAAGAAAAGAAUUGUCUGCUAUGUUUGAGGCCAUUUUGGAUAACAGGAACCGGAAGUGAAAAUUUGGAAUGGAUUGUGGGAUUUAACACUGACGUAAAAGUCUUAACGCUGCGUUAAUUAACGUCAGCAUUAAAACUGUUUCAGCAACAUAAAGUCAACGGCUGAUUAAAUGACGCUGCGUUAGUGAACUUAACGGAGGUAAAGCUUAACGGUAAUGCUAUCUUAACGGUGCUUUGAGCAACCCGGUCCUGGCCUUGUGGAUUCUAAAUUACAGGUCAGAUAUCAGUAAAUGUUAUAGAUUCAGGUCAGAUUUCAAUAAACACCUGGGAUACAGGUUGGUAAUAGUGAACUUUAAGGAUUCCAGGUAUUAUAAAUACAACAAGUGGUCCCAUUGGAAUAAUAUACAAUGUUUCAUGUUCUCUUAUAGAAAUAAACAACUUAACUUGUCACUCAAUAUAUCAAGUUGCCUUGUAUGCAAUUAUAUGCGUAAAAUUAUAAUUCCUAAUAGAUCAGGUUAAACUACCUUUUAAGAUUUUUACCCUUAAAUUUGUAUUCGUAUCCGAAAGAAUUCAGUAUUCAAAGUAAACUACCCUUAAGUGUUUAUUAGGCCAGUGAUCUAACUUCUUGGGAAAGUGUCGACAUCGCCAGUUGUCACAUAGAUGUGGAUGAGUUCGAACUAUGUCAGAUUUCGUUUUUGGUAGCCACAUUACGUCACAAGCGUCAGCGGAUAGCUUAUAGACGACACAUUGCAGACAUGUGCAAAUCAAGAGUGUAAAAAUACAAGAUUUCGUUCAGAAAAUGUGAACACAACAUAAAGCAUAAAUGUGUUGUGCAAAUGUAAAACGAAACGUCAGUGUCCUGAUUUAUGACAGUAAUAUUUACCCUACCCCACGUUUUGUACUAUUUCUUUACCAUAGUUAGAAGUUAAUACAAAUGUAUUAUACGUGCGAUUGAUGUUCAAUGUUUACUAGAACGGGGCAUGGAGCGCAAUGCGUCUGAGUUGAUUAUUUCUGGUCUCAGAUAAUGGAACUAAUGAGACUCUAUAAUCUAGUUUCUAGGACAAUGGGGCCGGUAAUUAUUAGAUUUACCGAUUUCGAAUAUAAUAGGAAUCGGUGAGACUUGAUUUACUCAUGUCUUACCUUUCAGAAAAAGGACAUUGUCAGGAAAAGGGAAGUUCCGAGGAUUUAGAGGUCGGCAGAUGCGCCAUGAAAGCCGGUGUCAGCAUACAUGGAGCUCUCGACAGAUUCGAGCGGGAAAGUUUCCACCCGGAUAAUAUAAACGACUACAUUCCUGGGCCGCCACCUCAGUGGCUUUAUUAUUAUCCGAGGAAUAAACCAAAAGGGAUAAGAACACCGUUUUGUUAAUCGAUGUGAUUACUUAUGAUUUACUUGGGGGAAAAAAAUCACAUACAAAAUUACAAGUACGGUUUUCCCCAGGAAACGAACUCGAGAGUGUCUAAAUAAGUCUUAAGCCGUCGAUGGUAAGGUUCAAACUAAGUUGGCCUUCGUUUAUACCACUUUUAUUGUUUUAUUCACGUUAAUUGUUACAUAAACAUGAUUUGUAAAAUUAUGGCAAUUGAUAAUUUAGAAGAUUGUUACUCGCAACAUCGUAGUAAUAUCUAAAAUACGUUUUGGUACAAGAUGACACGUGCAGUGUAUGGUUUAAAAGCCCGGUAUACAUAAAGUAUUCAUAAUUAAUACCAAUUUCAAGAAGUAAAACGCUUUUUUGAGCGAACAUGACCUCGACGAAUAUGAAAUUAAUAAAAUUAUUGUUUUGCAUUCAAAUUUUGUUUGAAGUAUGUAAAUGACAAAUGUACACUUUUUGUUAAGGGAAAGUCGGCUGAAUGUGUUCCCCCAAAACGGAAAAAAACAUAUGACCGUGUGUGUCUAAAUUUGGCAACCAGCGUGAAUAUUUAUAGAAAAUAUCAGGGUUCCGAGUGCUGCAGUGAACUCAGCGUCACGUUGCAUAGGAUGGAGACUGGUGACAUGCUCGUGUUUUAUCACCUGCUCUACAAGACGCACGUGUACAAGCGCAACAUGGCGGCCUCCUACACGAACUUCUACUCGUACAACAAUGUUAGUAUUAUUAUACCUUGCAUAAUAAUAAAAUAUAUGUGUUAUAUUUUCCGCUUACGCCCUUUGAAAUAGUCAUUAACAAUUAUAUGCAAAAGCAAGAUUGCAAGACAAAAUAUCGCGGCAUACUUCGAUUCGAAUGUAUUCAGAAUUCCAAUAGCGAUACACUCAAAAACAACUCUAAAGCUAUUUUUCUAAGUGCUUGUAUGGAGCUAAAUCACCAUGUAUUGUUUCAUAAAAUCUGUUUUGCUUUCAUGAUGAGUUGAAAAUAAUCACAAGGAAAAUAUAAGUAUCAUUGGUGAUACCGGAGCUUUUUACCGUAUUGUCACCCUUAAAACAGAUAAAGGAAUGCACUCAAAACACGAAACGAUGUCACGGAAUUACGAUGCCAAAUUGCGAUAUUUAUGUCAUGAUUGCGCAUCGGAAUUUCGUUUUGCAGUUUCGCUUUUUGACUUGGUUUCUCGUGCUUAUGAUAUAUGAAACAACGAGUGGCCUUAAUGGAACACAAAAUCAGACGGACAAAACCAGCUUGCCCUCGUUUUAUAUAUUUCCAAGAAUGCAAAUGAUAGAACACAGAUAUUUAAAAUCACAUAAAUGAAAAUGUUACAUAUAUUAACAUAUAUUAACGUUUAAGAAACAAAAAUAGACUGUAUUAUGUUAACUUUGCAUAUUCCAAUACCAUUCUUUUUGGGAAAAAAACUGCUUAUUUUGAUAUUUUAAAAACUUUAACGUAAUCAAAAUAUAAUAUUAUUCUAAGCAAAUACAUUUAAUGACAUUUUAAAAAAUUAUGAAAAUUUGUGAACAAAUCCUUAUUUGACAUUUUAAGCACCAGCUGCCACGGAUGAGCUGCCAACCAUCCAGCAGUCAUUGGACGGUUUAAUAGCAUACAUACUUUCAAAGCCGUGCAAUCAUAGUAACCAAUCGGAUGAUGAUCUAUGCAUCUUAUUCUCGCUCUGGUACAGCAGGGCUUAAUGCAUGGGCGUUAAGUGUCGUAACGAAUUAGCCUUGAAGUCCGCCCAAGCUAAUCAGGGACGAUACUUUCAUCCUUACCUAGAUUUUCGCUUAGAAGAGACUUAGUUAAACGCAAAAUACCAUAACAGUGGCAAGUGUCGACCCUGAUUAGCAAUAUCGGACUGCACAGGCCAAUCUUGGACGACACUGUACGCCCGCGCAUUGAGCCCCGUUUUUCCAGGACGCGAUUCAAAAAAAAUUAUAUUAAGAUUUCUUCUUGUAAGUUUGUAAUUUAGCCGUCGAUCGGGUGGUCGGUCGGUAGGUCGGUCGGGCAUUCGGAUGGUCCUUCCGACGACAUAUCAUUAAUCAAUGUAUGUAUAAAGCGUACAUAUAUAUUUCUUUCAGCAAAAUUCAUUUGUAUUUUUGCUCAAAUAAGGUUGAUAUAUUCGUUUAUUGACGGCGAUAUAUGCUAAUUAAUUAUGCUAAAACAUUUCAAUAUGAAUCUACUUAUUUAUUCGAUUGUGAACUUGUUUAUCGAUCAAAUGGCGACCUUUCAUGGUUAUCAAUUUGACCCAUAUCCACUCUCUGCCGUUGUGCACAUAGAGAGUUACAUGAAGGUAUUAAGGUCAUCCCUCUGACACAACUGCCCCCUCCCCUCCGUAUCUCUCCGUAUAGGGCAAUCAGAGGUGGACGAACAAGGACCGACCAGCGAAUUUGAAGUCAGCGGUAUUUUUGAUAAGGGCUCUGUUUUUAUUUACCAUCAUACGACAAGUUAUAGUUACGACUGAAUUUAGUAAUUUUAAAUUCGACAUUUACGAUAGGUUUGUUCCUGUGAAUUAUGAUAUUAAAGAAAUGGUAUCGUCAUUUACGGUAACUUACCUUUUUCCAAACUGUUGGUUCAUUUUUCACAAAAUUCGGAAAUAAGAAUGCUUUAUCAUGUUAACAUGUUCUUUGCAAAUGUAUGUGUUUAGGCGAUGUACUCUGUACAAGUCUUAAAUAAAAUAUAUGUCUGUCAUUUGAGACAUUAAUGCAAUUAAGUAUUUACAAAUGUCAGAACGUAACAUGUUUGCGCCUUUAAGGGUUCUUUCGAUGUGAAGAUCGUUCGAUCGUGAACAUUCCUGCUCAGGGAAUAUUUCUGAGAUAUUUAAUUAAGAAAGUCCUUAGUCCGUUUUAUUUAAAAGUUCAGUUACGAUUUUAUUUUGUAGUGUCCAAAAAACUAGAUAAAGAUGAACAUAGUUACGGCCAGUUUUAAAUAAAGGACGCGUGGAAGACACUAAGAAUAGUUUUAAUACAAUUCUGACCUUAAGUUAUUUUAGAUGAUUUAAAAACGUUUAGAUUGAGAAAGAAAAAAUCAUCAUAGCGUAAAUUCUUAUGUUUAAUAACAUGCACCACAGAACACCAAUUUAUAAACCCUUACGAAAGAAUGUCAAAGUACUAAAAUUAUUUAUUUAAAUGUCUAUUUUAAGUUAAGCAUCUCUAAAUAAUUUAGGUACAUGUCGGUUAUUACAUAUUAUCAACAGCAGAUCAGUAGCAAUUCAAAUUUUAAACAUAUAUUUGAUAUCAAACAUUUUCCUACAGUUCAACUUCAGUCGCGCUUUCGGAAAUCCUUUACCAGUGUUUACCAGAAAACGGACCUGUAUGUUAUAAUUUAAGCGCAAACAGUCGAAACAGUCGAACCAAGAUAGGGUAAAAUAUCAAUAAAACUAACCGUAAUCUGUAUGUUUUAUUCGAGUAACUGUCACGGACUGCCAUUUUAAGAACACGGGCUGAAAAACCUUCUUUUACGCCCAUAUUGACAGAAAGCCGCGUUAGUUUAAACCUAUUUAUUUUAGCUCGAUUGCAUUGAAAGUAUUUACUACUUAUUUGAAAUGCUCUCGAGUCCGUUUCCUGGGCCUAGAACCAGUACUUGGUGUCUUUUGGGGGAAAUCUAAAGAACGCUCCCACAGUGGGGAUCGAACCCGUGACCUCCCGGUCGCUAGGCGGACACCAUGUCCAUAACACCACGGCGUUGAUAAGCCUUUACUCAAUUGAGGUUAAUAUGGUAGACAUAUGAGCUUCUUAAUGCAUAUUUAGUAACAGUGUUAUCAAACAUCGGACAGCCCUUUUAUAUUUUACGUUUUCGGAAACGACGUCUUUUGCAAAAUAGUAACACGCGCGAGGUGCAGCGCUGUUUUAGUGCCAAUAAUAAUGACAUAAGUAUUCUUGACGCUGUUAUUCACAAAUGGGUCGGAUGUCAUUUGGGCGUCGAUUUUGAUUUUACUUAUUUGUAAU